rnacentral:rRNA from 1 species
GUUAUUAAAAUCAUUGCUGUGUUAAUAUUAGGUCAAUUAAAUUUAAAAAAAUUAAUAAUAUGGAUGAGAUAGUAGUUAAUAACAAACCUUCUUGUAUAGCUAUAGAUAAUAAGUACUGAAUAGGAAAUAAUAUAAUAAUUAAUUUAAAAGAAAAAAAGUAAGUUUCAAGAUCUGUACCUUGUGUAUAAGGGAUACCUUAAGUGUUAUCAGACAUAUUACUGAAUUUCCCGAAGUAAGGAUAGCUAAUAUUUAUAAACAGUUUUUUGUAGCAUAAAGAUUUGGAAUAUAAUAUUAAAGAUGAUAUGUUAAACGAGCCUUAUAAUAUCUGGUUUUUUAGGAAUAAAAUAUAAUUUGAUUAUUAGAUAGUAAGUGCAUCUAAUUAUUAAAGGGCAGGAGGGAUGAGCUUCUUGUCUCUAUAAAAGUCAUUCAAUAAAUUUAUACAUAUAUCUCUUUGUCUAGGCUUAAAAGUAGCCAUGAUAUGAUAGUGUUCUAACAUCAGGAUUACGAGAAAAAAUUAUAUAAUGAAUAAAAGUUUUGAGAGGUACUAAAAUAUUAAAUGAAUCAUGAUAAUUUAAGAAAAAAUGGUUGUAUGAGUAAAUAAUGUUGUAGUUAGUAAGGAAUAAAAUACUAAGUUAGUUAUAAUAAAUUUAUAUGAAAUUAAAUAGGAAUUCGGCAAAUCUUUUUUCUGCCUGUUUAUCAAAAACAUGUCUAUUACGGUGAUAUUUAUAGUCUAGCCUGCUCAGUGACAUAAAAGUGUUAAAUAGCCGCGGUAUCCUGACCGUGCAAAGGUAGCAUAAUCAUUAGUUUUUUAAUUGGAAACUAGAAUGAAUGGUUGGACAAGAAAAAAACUGUCUCUUUUAUUAAAAUUGAAAUUAACUUUUAAGUGAAAAGGCUUAAAAUUUACUAAGGGGACGAUAAGACCCUAUAAAGCUUUAUAAAUUCAGAGAUUUUAGAUAUUUUAUAUAUAAAUUUAUUUUUUGAUAAUUUAUUUGGUUGGGGCGACAAGGGUAUAAUUAUAAAUAACUGCCAUUAAUGUUUAUACAUAUAUUUUUGAUUUAAAUUUAAUAUAGUAGUUGAUCCUUUUUAAGGAUUUAAAGAUCAAGUUACUUUAGGGAUAACAGCGUAAUUUCUUCUGAGAGUUCUUAUCAAAGAAGAAGUUUGCGACCUCGAUGUUGAAUUAAAAUGUCUUUAUAGUGCAGCAGCUAUAAAAGAAGGUCUGUUCGACCUUUAAUUUUUUACAUGAUUUGAGUUCAGACCGGCGGGAGCCAGGUCGGUUUCUAUCUCUUAGGAUAAGUAAAGAUUAUUUUAGUACGAAAGGAUUAAAUAAUCAGAUUUUAUUUAUAAAUUGUAAU